UAAGGAAUAUUGGUCAAUGGACGCAAGUCUGAACCAGCCAUGCCGCGUGAAGGAUGAAGGUCCUCUGGAUUGUAAACUUCUUUUAUCUGGGACGAAAACGGGAUUUUUAUCUCAAUUGACGGUACCAGAGGAAUAAGCACCGGCUAACUCCGUACCAGCAGCCGCGGUAAUACGGAGGGUGCGAGCGUUAUCCGGAUUUACUGGGUUUAAAGGGUGCGUAGGUGGGCUUAUAAGUCAGUGGUGAAAUCUCCGAGCUUAACUUGGAAACUGCCGUUGAUACUAUAGGUCCUGAAUUAUCUGGAGGUAAGCGGAAUAUGUCAUGUAGCGGUGAAAUGCUUAGAUAUGACAUAGAACACCAAUUGCGAAGGCAGCUUACUACAUAUAAAUUGACGCUGAGGCACGAAAGCGUGGGGAUCAAACA
rnacentral:rRNA from 1 species